rnacentral:rRNA from 1 species
UACGUAGGGUGCGAGCGUUAAUCGGAAUUACUGGGCGUAAAGGGUGCGUAGGUGGGCAGGUAAGUCAGUGGUGAAAUCUCCGGGCUUAACCCGGAAACUGCCGUUGAUACUAUUUGUCUUGAAUAUUGUGGAGGUAAGCGGAAUAUGUCAUGUAGCGGUGAAAUGCUUAGAUAUGACAUAGAACACCAAUUGCGAAGGCAGCUUACUACACAAUUAUUGACACUGAGGCACGAAAGCGUGGGGAUCAAACAGG